UUCAUUUUGGGGAUCCUCCCAUUCAUCCCUCUUAUUCUGUUUUCUCUUUCAGAUUGUUUGAUUAUGGGAUCAAGCUGCAAUUUCCUCUGACCUUCUGAGAACUAUGUACCCAUUUAGAACCCACAUCAGAGCUUUUCCAGAAUGGUUUUCCUUGGGCAUUUUAAUCCCCCUCUGAAAGACACUCUGACUCACUGGCUGCUGAGACUCCAGUACUUCUGCUUCAAUAACCGGUUCUUCCCGGUGGAGCUGGAGGACUCUGUGUUCAGUGGAAUAACACAAUGAUGGUGACCAGAAGUGAACCCAGCCUCAUUCUCUUCACGGCUCCUUCCCUGACAUGCUGGCUUCACCUGCCUCACUUCUGUUCUCAGCAGUUCACAGGGCAGUCCAGCUGUUCAACUGUGUAAUUAAGUCUCUUCUAAGAGAGCUGAGAAGCUGGGUCAGUACUGCAUGUUCCAGUGAUCAUUGGCUACCAAGUUAAAGGUUGAAUUGAUAUUUCGAGCAGUUAUCAA
rnacentral:lncRNA from 13 species